GGACCUGUAGCUCAAUUGGAUAGAGCACUUGACUACGGAUCAAGAGGUUUGGGGUUCGAAUCCCUACUGGUCCG
rnacentral:tRNA from 1 species